GAUUGAUAGGCGAUCUGGUAAGGAGCUCGAGAAGGAGCCCAGGAGCUCGAGAAGGGGCCCAGGUUCUCGAAGAAUGGUGAUGCUGGUUUUGUGAAGAUGGGUCUCACCAAGCCCAUGAUAGUGGAGACCUUUUCUAAGUAUCCUCCUCUUGGUCGUUUUGAUGUGAGGGACAUGAGCUAGACUGUUGCUGUUGGUGUCAUCAAGAGUGUCGAGAAGAAGGAUCCAAAAAAUACUGGUGCAAAGGCAUCAAGUCUGCAGCAAAGAAAAAGUAAAGCGUCUGCAGAGUGAGGUUGAAGUUGUUAGUUUGGUUAUGUCUUGUUUUUGCUGUUACUUUGAGAACAGAUUCAGUUUCUUAUUCCUGCAGUUUUGUGUCUCUCGUAAGUUUACGGUCGUUGCCUCGUGUCUCUGAAUGUUAAGGAAUUAUGGCGUUUUGGGGAUUCUAUGGCAUUGACAUUUUCAUUUUUUUUAUCACAUGUUUUACUUGUUUAUUGAGCAUUUUGUCAAUUUUAGUCUGCCAUAGGAGUUGCGCUGUACUCAGGUUUAGUGAAUCCAUAGACUUCCUGCUAACUUCAAAUCAUUGACUGACUAUAAAGAGUAAUUAAUGUGCUAUAAAAUUCAUAUAUAAAGCGGUAGAUAUUCAUGCUUUAUGAGAAAAGUAUUGAGAAAU
rnacentral:misc_RNA from 1 species